AAUAAAUAAAGUCUUCAUAAAAAAAUAGAAGCAACUGUUUCUCAGUGAGUUUAUCAAUUUACCAUUCUCAGAAGAAAAAAAUGAAGCAAUGGGACUAUAUAACUUUGGACUUAUUUCUAAUCUCCGCAUCCUGGGUUAUAAGAAGAAAAUCCUAUGAUACAAAUUUGGGUUUAGAACCUAGAAGGAUAUAAUCUGGACUUCUCUACAGAUAAUUUUAUAUUCCCUCAGCAUUGAAAUAUGUGGAUAUAUAAUAAAAUAUGUUAAAUUCCUCAGGGAAUUGCCUUGGCCAAAUUCUUGAUAUUCUUACAGAGAAUAGGUAAAUAUACUUCCUAUCAGGAGAUAUUUACUGCGUAUGACAUACAUCUCAAGUUUUAUUAGAAAUAAUCACGUAAAAUUGCUUUACUAUAUUUUAGUAUCUAUGAACAUUUAUCAAAAGGAGUUUUAAUUAAAUCCCAGAAAGAGUAGAUGUAUUUGUAGUUGGGAAUUAUUGCCAGGUAAUUGUUUCCACUUGGCUGUAUUAUACAGACUGUGACUUUAAAUUUUGUCUUGCAGGGAUGCCUGGGUGGCUCAGUGGUUGAGGGUCUGCCUUUGGCUCAGGGCGUGACCCUGGAAUCCUGGGAUCAAGUCCCACAUCAGGCUUCCUGCGUGGAGCCUGCUUCUCCUUCUGCCUAUCUCUCUGCCUCUCUCUCUCUUCCUCUCUCUCUCUUUCAUGAAUAAAUAAAUAAAAUAUUUUUAAAAAUCGUGUUGCAAAUCUUUGAAUUUUUCCUUCUUUGGAAGCAGGAUGAUUUAAGGUAUUUCACUAGCUUCUGCCAUUGUCUAAACAAAUAUGCAGUUUAUGGAACAGAAAAGAAGAAAUUUUUAUUUUCUCAUAACUUUCCCAGGAAGAUAGAUUCCAAAGUUUGCAAGGUAUUUACAUCCAUUGCACUUUUGUUCUUCACAUUUAAAUAAGACAUCUCCAGUUUUAUUUCUACCUCAUUGCUUUAUUGAUUGAUUGAUCUGGAAUGAAUAAAGUAUAUCUAGAGGAUGUUGACAAUGGAGGGAAGGUACUUUGAUUUGCAUCACCCAAGAGAAAGCUAAGGAUUUCUGAAUAUUAAGAUUAGCUUGUAAACUAGAGUUAAUAAAAUAAAUAGUAAUGACAAUAAUGUACUAUGAAAUGAUUAUUUGAUAUUGGCUAUAUCUUAAUAAAGUAAA